ACCUGCAGCUCUACACCACACCUCCAUCACUCACACACAGUGUCAUCUGCCUCAGCACCUCAUUCUCCAAAAGAUCACAAGUCACUUCAGGUGAACACUUACUUACCUGUGAUCUGUCCGAGCUGAUUAUCCACCUCCUUUUAGAUGGUUUAAACAUCUGGAUCAAUAGUCAAAGGAACAUAAAACAGCUGGAUUGACAGUUACAGGUAGACUAAAUGUCUGGAUUAACAAGUAAAGAAACGCUAAACAGCUAAAUUAAAAGAUACACAUACAAGAAACAGCUGGAUCAACAGUUACAAGUAUGUGAAACAGCUGGAUUGACAGUCAUGGGUAAGCUAAACAGCUGGAUCAACAGUUAUAGGUAAGCUAAACAGCUGAAUCGACAGUUAUAGGUAAGCUAAACAGCUGGAUUGACAGUUAUAGGUAUGCUAACAGCUGGAUCGACAGUUAUAGGUACAUGAAACAGCUGACUAGAUUGUUACAGAUCCAUUAAACAGCUGGAUUAACAAUUAAAGUAAUUGAAAAACACCUGGAUCAACAGUUACAGGUAUGCAAAAUAGCUGGGUGGACAGUAAGGCAUGCUAAACAGCUGGAUUGACAGUUACAGGUACAUGACCGCUGGAUUGAUAUUUGCAGUUGCAUUGGAUAGAUGGUUACAGGUUCAUAAAACAGCUGGAUUGACAGUUACAGGAAUGCAAAUCAACAGGUAAAAACAUUAAGGUUGUUAACGAUGAUUAGACAGGUAGCACAUGGCGUAUAGUGAACUAGCUCCUGCACAGUAUUAGCAUCCUGAAGGCCUGGUCUCCAGAUUUGAGCGUGUGCACUAUGGGGCAGUAAAUAAACAGAAUAAGAGGUAUAGUGAAGAAGACCUGGUUUUCUGAAGCGCAGAGCAGUUCUUCAUUUCAUCAACAAUUACAUCAUUGGUUAAAAACUAUUAAAUCAUAAACA